GAGGGUAUAACUCAGUGGUAGAAUGUGUGCUUAGCAUGCAAAGGGUCCUGGGUUCAAUCCCCAGUAUCUCUG
rnacentral:tRNA from 1 species